rnacentral:rRNA from 1 species
CCCUUAGAUGUUCUGGGCCGCACGCGCGCUACACUGUUCGACGCAGCGAGUCUUAACCUUGACCGAAAGGUUUGGAUAAUCUUCAGCAAAGUCGAACGUGAUGGGGAUCGAUCAUUGCAAUUAUUGAUCGUGAACGAGGAAUUCCUAGUAAGUGCAAGUCAUCAGCUUGCGCUGAUUACGUCCCUGCCCUUUGUACACACCGCCCGUCGCUACUACCGAUUGAAUGGUUUAGUGAGAUCUCUGGAUUGACGCUGGCUAGGGGGCGACCCUUGGCCAGGCUGUCGAGAAACUGCUCAAACUUGAUCAUUUAGAGGAAGUAAAAGUCGUAACA